GAGUUUGAUCAUGGCUCAGAUUGAACGCUGGCGGCAUGCCUAACACAUGCAAGUCGAACGAAGGCUUCGGCCUUAGUGGCGCACGGGUGCGUAACGCGUGGGAAUCUGCCCUUGGGUUCGGAAUAACAGUUGGAAACGACUGCUAAUACCGGAUGAUGACGUAAGUCCAAAGAUUUAUCGCCCAAGGAUGAGCCCGCGUAGGAUUAGCUAGUUGGUGAGGUAAGAGCUCGCCAAGGCGACGAUCCUUAGCUGGUCUGAGAGGAUGAUCAGCCACACUGGGACUGAGACACGGCCCAGACUCCUACGGGAGGCAGCAGUGGGGAAUAUUGGACAAUGGGCGAAAGCCUGAUCCAGCAAUGCCGCGUGAGUGAUGAAGGCCUUAGGGUUGUAAAGCUCUUUUACCCGGGAUGAUAAUGACAGUACCGGGAGAAUAAGCUCCGGCUAACUCCGUGCCAGCCGCCGCCGUAAC
rnacentral:rRNA from 1 species